rnacentral:rRNA from 1 species
GAGGGAAAGGUGAAAAGCACCCCGGGAGGGGAGUGAAAAAGAACCUGAAACCGUGUGCUUACAAACAGUUGGAGGGCGUUAAAGCCUGACAGCGUACUUUUUGUAGAACGGACCGGCGAGUUUUUGUAUGCAGCGAGGUUAAGGUGUUAAGCACCGUAGCCGUAGCGAAAGCGAGUCUUAACAGGGCGUAUAGUUGCAUAUAGAAGACCCGAAACCAGGUGAUCUACCCAUGGCCAGGGUGAAACGCGAGUGAAACCGCGCGGAGGCCCGAACCUGUUAGCGUUGAAAAGCUAUAGGAUGAGCUGUGGGUAGCAGUGAAAAGCUAAUCGAACCUGGAGAUAGCUGGUUCUCCCCGAAAUAGCUUUAGGGCUAGCCUCAAAGUUAAUAAAGUACCGGAGGUAGAGCACUGAUCGGGUAAAGGGCCUAACGGUUACUGACCCCUUUCAAACUCCGAAUGCUGGUAUGGAUCUUUGGGAGUCAGUCUAUGUGGGAUAAGCUGCAUAGACAAAAGGGAAAGAGCCCAGACCGUCGGCUAAGGUCCCUAAGUUUAGACUAAGUGGUAAAGGAAGUGGAAUCGCUUAGACAACCAGGAUGUUGGCUUAGAAGCAGCCACACAUUUAAAGAGUGCGUAAUAGCUCACUGGUCGAGUGGUUCUGCGCCGAAAAUGUAACGGGGCUCAAGUCUAACACCGAAGCCACGGGGCAUAUAUUUAAUAUAUGUUGGUAGGGGAGCGUUGUUUGUGCAUAGAAGCCGUACCGUAAGGAGCGGUGGAGCGCAAAGAAGUGAGAAUGCCGGUAUGAGUAGCGAAAAGAAGGGUGAGAAUCCCUUCCGCCGAAAGCCUAAGGUUUCCUGAGGAAGGUUCGUCCGCUCAGGGUAAGUCGGGACCUAAGGCGAGGCCGAAAGGCGUAGUCGAUGGACAACAGGUUGAUAUUCCUGUACCGUAUCUAUGCGUUUGAACGAAGUAGUGACGCAGAAGGAUAGGCUGAGCACGGUUUGGUAGACUGUGUCUAAGGAGUUAGGGAGUGAGGUAGGCAAAUCCGUCUCACAUUAAUCCUGAACUCUGAUGGGGAGGCUUAAAGCCGAAGCAGUUGAUUCCCAGCUGCCAAGAAAAGCUGCUAGUGAGUAUAGAUAUGCCCGUACUAAAACCGCCACAGGUAGGCGAGGAGAGAAUCCUAAGGCGCGCGAGAGAACCCUUGUUAAGGAACUCGGCAAAAUGACUCCGUAACUUCGGGAGAAGGAGUGCCCCGUUAGGGUUAAUAGCCCGAGGGGGUCGCAGAUAAGAGGCCCAGGCGACUGUUUAUCAAAAACACAGGUCUCUGCUAAGUGGGAACACGAAGUAUAGGGGCUGACACCUGCCCAAUGCCGGAAGGUUAAGGGGAAAUGUUAGCGCAAGCGAAGCAUAGAACUGAAGCCCCGGUCAAUGGCGGCCGUAACUAUAACGGUCCUAAGGUAGCGAAAUUCCUUGUCGGGUAAGUUCCGACCCGCACGAAAGGUGUAACGAUCUGGGCGCUGUCUCGACUACCCGCCCGGCGAAAUUGUAGUACCGGUGAAGAUGCCGGUUUCCCGCGACAAGACGGAAAGACCCCAUGGAGCUUUACUGUAGUUUAAUAUUGGGUUUCGGCAAUUUAUGUACAGGAUAGGUGGGAGGCUGAGAAGCCGUGGCGCCAGCUGCGGCGGAGCUGCCCUUGGGAUACCACCCUUAAGUUGCUGAAAUUCUAACCUGCGGCCGUGACCCGGCCGGGGGACAUUGUUAGACGGGCAGUUUGACUGGGGCGGUCGCCUCCAAAAAGGUAACGGAGGCGCUCAAAGGUUGGCUCGGCACGGACGGAAACCGUGCGAGAGAGUGUAAACGCACAAGCCGGCCUGACUGCGAGGACGACGGUCCGAGCAGAAACGAAAGUUGGAGUUAGUGAUCCGGCGGUAUGAGAGUGGAAUUGCCGUCGCUCA